AUAUGUUACGUUGAUGGGCAAAAUGUUCAGCUGCUCUGAAUGGACUGAAUGAAAAUAGCCUUUCUGAACAUCU
rnacentral:snoRNA from 1 species